rnacentral:lncRNA from 1 species
GUCCGCGAGUCCUGCGCGCGAAGAUCUACUCGGUGCGAGCUGACUCCCCUCAGACCAGGUGAACCAAAGCCAUGGGACAAGCAGGGACAAAAUUCAGGUUUUGGAUGGCCAGGGGUGCAGCACGGGGUUUCCACGCUUCCUUGGGAGCUGCACCCCCUCUGUCAGGCCGAUGAAAGCCGGGAGCUUUACUAUGGACUCUGGGUGCUUAGGAAGAAGGUGGCCUCGUUCAUUUCAGCCAUGAUCGACGCCCAACGUGGACGGAACUGCCACUUCCCUCAUACCUGGCUCUUAGUCUUCAGUCUGAGGUAUGGCCAACAGUUUAUUUUUUAAGUGGGGGCGGGGGUGGCGGCGAGUUUGCUUCUACCUGGCGUAGCGCACAAUACACUCAUGGCCCUGAAUUCUCCAGUGAGAGAGCUUCAGUGUUUGGAUACAACUUGUUAUCAUGUGAACUGUUGGUGGGUGUGCAGGCGUCUCUAUAACGGCUUCACAGGCCAAACGCUUUUGCUUAGUGACCCACGCUCCCCUCAGCUGCCUUCCAAGUAGCCAUCUUAAGAGCUGCAUCACAGCUCAAAGAGACGUUUCACAAUCAGUUAACAAGCAACUUGGUGGUAACCACAAAUUAUGGCAAAAAUCCCAGCUCCACUGGCCCCUUUGCAUAUUGUCUAAUUAGAGACAGUACAUCCCAAACCUGGGAAUAUUCCUGUAAGCUCCACCCCGAGACGUCAGACCUGUGGCCGUAUUUGAAUGAGGGCCCCAAUACCCAAUAAUCUUGGAAGCGCUUUACGCACUGUACCCUAGCACCUCCUUCAGACCAGUGAGUAACAGGUGCCUGUUACUCAUUGCACAGCUGAUGGAGGCCUUUUACCAUGACGGCUCCUCUGGUUCUCCUGGCCCUCUGAGCUGGUGGUGGUGUUUUAAUAAAAAGUAUAAUAGACAAUGGACGUGAGUCUCGGUGAACUCCGGAAGUUGGUGAUGGACAGGAGGCCUGGCGUGCUGCGAUUCACGGGUCAAAAGAGUCGGACACGACCGGCGACUGAUCUGAUCUGAUAAUAGACAAACCAGAAGAACAUAGAGGUUGAAGAAAUUUUGGCAAAAAAUAUAAUAGACAAAUAAAAUGUUACAUAUUUAAAGGAGAUAGUGUGGUGAUUUGACAUAUGUCUACUUUGUGAAUGAUUACCACAAUCAGGUUAACACGUCCGUCACCUCACAGCUACCAUUUUUUUUUAACGUGUGUGGUUGAGCUUCUGAUUUUGAGAAUUUCCUCCUGCCAUUGAGAAGCGACUGUGAACGUGACUAACCUCUGGUCAAAACAGCCUCCAACUUGACAUCCUGCAAAUCUGAACUAAAUUCCGUAGGUGGGAUGAGCUCUAGGAAGUUCUGUCAUGAAAACACUAUGGAUCUUGCAAUUAAGCCCAGUCCCUAAGCCUCUGACUUCACCCACAGGUGUCUUCCCUUAUGGAGUACUAGUCUCAUGAAAGCCAGCUGACAAGAAUCAGUGAAGAAGCCCACCCUGCUCCAAGGUGAGCAGGUCCUCUAUAAUGCUAGAGCCUUUCAGUGAAGGCAAACGGUUGAUGGCCUGCAGCAAUGGGUGUCCCAUGUGAUGAGCUGAAUUUCACGUGGAACUUUCUAGUCAGUGUACUGCCCACCCCUGCCUCCCAGGAAUCAGUGAACAAUAUCUGUGUAUCAGCUCAUGGACUGUCACUUAUGACCCAGCUUUAAUGGUCAGGUCUUUGGGCCCCCCCAGGACUGGACUCUUAAAGAGAUCCCAUAUAUUGGAUGACCUCCUCUUGGAAACAUAGCAGUUUUCAGAUUCAACAUUUACAUUAUAUGUAUAGUUAUAUGAAGUA